GAGACCUCAGGUCAGGCGGGGCUAAUCACUAGUGAAUUCGCGGCCGCCUGCAGGUCGACCAUAUGGGAGAG
rnacentral:rRNA from 1 species